CAGCCGUAAACAAUGUGCGUUAGGUGUGUCGGUAACCACGCGUUACUGAUGCGCCGAAGAGAAAUCGUGAAACGCACCACCUGGGAAGUACGGUCGCAAGGCUGAAACUUAAAGGAAUUGGCGGGGGGAGCACCGCAACGGGAGGAGCGUGCGGUUUAAUUGGAUUCAACACCGUAAAACUCACCAGGGAAGACUGUUACAUGAAACCCAGACUAAUGAUCUUGGUUGAUUUUCAGAGAGGAGGUGCAUGGCGUCAGUGACU
rnacentral:rRNA from 1 species